rnacentral:rRNA from 1 species
AUUGAACGCUGGCGGCAUGCCUUACACAUGCAAGUCGAACGGCAGCACGGGAGCAAUCCUGGUGGCGAGUGGCGAACGGGUGAGUAAAGUAUCGGAACGUGCCCAGUCGUGGGGGAUAACGUAGCGAAAGUUACGCUAAUACCGCAUACGAUCUAUGGAUGAAAGCGGGGGAUCGCAAGACCUCGCGCGAUUGGAGCGGCCGAUAUCAGAUUAGGUAGUUGGUGGGGUAAAGGCUCACCAAGCCGACGAUCUGUAGCUGGUCUGAGAGGACGGCCAGCCACACCGGGAAUGCGACCCGGCCUAGACUCAUACGGGAGGCAGAAGUGGGGAAUUUUGGACAAUGGGCGAAAGCCUGAUCCAGCCAUGCCGCGUGCAGGAUGAAGGCCUUCGGGUUGUAAACUGCUUUUGUACGGAACGAAAAGGUUUGGCCUAAUAAGCUGAGCUCGUGACGGUACCGUAAGAAUAAGCACCGGCUAACUACGUGCCAGCCGCCGCGGUAA